AUGACUCAGCCUGAAUGGCAGCUUGCGAUGGCCGAAGAGCUUGAUGCCCUUGAGCGCUCUGUCACAUGGGAUCUGGUUUCCCUCCCUUCCGGUGUUUGUCCCAUCACCUGCAAGUGGGUCUACAAGAUUAAGACUCGCUUCGAUGGUUCUCUUGAGCGCUACAAAGCUCGUCUUGUGGCCCGUGGUUUUCAGCAGGAGCAGGGACGCGAUUAUGAUGAGACAUUCGCUCCUAUGGCCCACAUGACUACUGUCCGCACUCUCCUUGCUGUGGCUUCUGUUCGUCAUUGGUCUAUCUCUCAACUUGAUGUCCAGAACGCCUUUCUCAACGGCGAGUUGCGUGAGGAGGUUUAUAUGCAGCCACCAGCGGGGUACUAUGCUCCUGAUGGUAUGGUCUGUAGACUUCGCCGCUCCCUCUAUGGUCUUAAACAGGCCCCUCGCGCCUGGUUUGAGCGCUUCGCCUCUGUGGUGACUGCCGCUGGUUUCUUGCCCAGUGAUCAUGAUCCCGCGUUGUUUGUUCACACGUCUCCUCGUGGUUGGACUCUUCUCCUUCUGUAUGUUGAUGACAUGAUCAUCACUGGUGACGACUCUGACUACAUUGCCUUUGUUAAGGCUCGCCUUCGCGACCAGUUCCUGAUGACUGAUCUUGGUCCACUUCGCUAUUUUCUUGGGAUUGAGAUCUCCUCGACCUCUGAUGGCUUCUACAUCUCCCAAGAAAAAUAUAUUCAAGAUCUUCUUGCUCGCGCUGCUCUAGGUGAUGAGCGCACAGUUGUGACUCCUAUGGAGCUCAACGUUCAGCUUCGUGCCUCUGAUGGUGACCCUCUUCCUAAUCCCACUCGCUAUCGUCACCUUGUUGGCAGCCUUGUCUAUCUUGCUGUUACGCGUCCUGACAUCUCCUAUCCUGUUCACAUCCUGAGUCAGUUUGUUUCAGCUCCCACCUUUGUCCACUAUAGUCAUCUCCUCCAUGUUCUACGAUAUCUUCGUGGCAUGAUCUCUCAGUGCCUUUUCUUUCCCCGCUCUAGCUCUCUUGAGCUCCAGGCCUACUCUGAUGCUACCUGGGCUAGUGAUCCCUCUGAUCGACGCUCGAUGUCUGCUUACUGUGUCUUUCUUGGCGGCUUUCUUAUUGCCUGGAAGACAAAGAAACAGACUGCAGUUUCUCGCUCGAGUACAGAGGCUGAGUUGCGAGCCAUGGCUAUGUUGACGGCUGAGGUGAUUCGGUUACGGUGGUUACUUGAGGAUUUUGGUGUGUCUGCUACUACCUCGACUCCCUUACUGUCAGACAAUACCGGUGCUAUCAGUAUUGCGCGUGACCCAGUGAAGCAUGAGCUCACCAAGCACAUCGGUGUGGAUGCCCACUUUGUGCGUGCUGCUGUGCAGGAUCAGACUCUCGCUCUUCACUAUGUGCCCUCUGAGUUACAGUUGGCGGACUUCUUCACGAAGGCACAGACUCGAGCGUAG
rnacentral:rRNA from 1 species